rnacentral:rRNA from 1 species
GACGAACGCUGGCGGCGUGCCUAAUACAUGCAAGUAGAACGCUGAAGGAGGAGCUUGCUUCUCUGGAUGAGUUGCGAACGGGUGAGUAACGCGUAGGUAACCUGCCUGGUAGCGGGGGAUAACUAUUGGAAACGAUAGCUAAUACCGCAUAACAGUAGAUAUCGCAUGAUGUCUACUUGAAAGGUGCAAUUGCAUCACUACCAGAUGGACCUGCGUUGUAUUAGCUAGUUGGUGAGGUAACGGCUCACCAAGGCGACGAUACAUAGCCGACCUGAGAGGGUGAUCGGCCACACUGGGACUGAGACACGGCCCAGACUCCUACGGGAGGCAGCAGUAGGGAAUCUUCGGCAAUGGACGGAAGUCUGACCGAGCAACGCCGCGUGAGUGAAGAAGGUUUUCGGAUCGUAAAGCUCUGUUGUAAGAGAAGAACGAGUGUGAGAGUGGAAAGUUCACACUGUGACGGUAUCUUACCAGAAAGGGACGGCUAACUACGUG